AUAUUCCACUAGGGGUGCGUUUAAGCUGAGAGAAGGUUUUUUUAACCUUUAACUCUUCAACCUGAUCUAGUUAACACUAGCGUAGGGAAGUGGACAAGCAAAGAA
rnacentral:ncRNA from 2 species